rnacentral:lncRNA from 1 species
CAUGAUUAGUUGAUGGUUAAAUGUGAGCAUUAAGGACCGUCAACAAGCUCCCCCAAGCUUAACCUUUGCUCGUCCCUGAGCAAAGAUGAACUCAAGAGUUUCUGCAGUGGUUUCAUAACUCAAAGAUACACAUGCGUUUAAACAAGAUCUCAUCUCUCGUUAGAGUAAACUGUUAAGACUUAAAACUUACUCAUUUACCUUUCACCAUGGGACUUGUAACCGUCACUUCUGUCUUGAGUAGUUAAAAGAUAGAACGGUCUAGUCAAGCACCAUGUCUCAUAUUCUUGAUCAGCUAUAGCUCUGAAGUUUUUUGCAGAUUUUCAAAUAAAACUCAGAGAUUCCUUGUAUGACUCUCUCUAGUCUCUCUUUUAUGGUAUUUCUGGAUCCUUACCAAGGCAUUAAUGGUGUAUGCCUUCUCUCAAAGUAUGUGGUAUUUGUGGUAUAAGGCAUAGUGGCAUUGCCUUCUCUCUCACCCUACUCUAAUAAGGCUUUUGAUAUCUGGAGCUCAUAGGUGGGAGACAGCUAAUACAUACUUACAAGACAUUUAUUGCAUAGUCAAACCAUGGAUCCAGAAGAACAAUUCAAUAAGUCAAAUCAAGAUGUGCAUGUGUGGCAAAUGAAUGGUGUAUGGUAAUGAUGGUGAUAACAAUGGUGGAAGUCUAAUUCUACUUAUGCUCUUUUGAGGGGAUACAUACCUUUCCUGCUCUUUUGAAACUUUUCGAGGGGAAUGAGAUGCUCUAUAUUUUCUCUUUUUUUUCUCUCAGGUGGGUAUCUUGUACCCCUAAUUCUACUGUCGGACACUUGUCCAUUUUUACCUCUCGUCUCACUUUUUCUUUUCUUUCGAGGUUCCGGGCACUUGCCCCUUUUUAUUUCCUCGUAUAUUUUUUUCCUUUUAUUUAUUAGAGCACUCAUCUCAUGAGAUAAUAUAGCAAGUGGUAGUAACAAGAUAACUUGAGCAUUUUUUUAUAGGGAAAAACAGAAAUAGGAGAAUGUUUUUGGCUAUUCUCUCCCGGAUUAGGAGUAGAAUAUUUUUGGGUGGUUCUGGAGAUGGAAAUGGAUGGAUAUAUGUGGAUGCAUACUUCCAGAGUAGAAGCAGCAUGUGUGAGUGAACGUGCAAGUGAAUCUUGAUCUAACCACAUGACAAGCUCCUAAGGGUCUACACAGCUUGACCACACUCAAUGCUCAUAAGUAGUAAAGUAAAUGUGUGGUUCAUAGUCUAGCAAGCAUGUAUAUAUGGCUGUGGUAGGAAUUUAAACUCUCAUCAUACAGGAACUCAUCAUGCAACAUUUUAAAGAUUUUCAAAGAUAAAAUUCUCCAGAAUUCUAGCAUCUCUAGGAACAGAUAAACAACAGCUCAACCUUUCCAUAUCAUAUUCGUCAACAACUUAGACUUUAGAUCAAGUACUCUUCCCACAAGUUCAGGUUUAGAGCAAAUCUUAAUUAAUAACAGUCAUGCCUAAACUUGAGAGAGAUUUCAAUUUUUAGAACUAGUCAUGGCAGAGCAACUAUUCAUCAUUUCCAUGUGAGAGCUUAUCAUGAGGGUUCAUAGCAAACUUUAUUUAUUUAUUUAUUUAUUUAGCAAACUAAGCAAAGAUAUAUAUAAGCACAAAAUCUUUAUUUGGGUUUUUAUGAUUAUGCAUCUUUUUAUUAUUUGAGUAAAAUAUAAACGUGAGUAGAACACUUAGCUGGAUAAAUGGGGGUGCUCUCCCCCAACCUGGAUUUUGACGUAAUUUCUUCUGAUGUAGCUAGCAGGUGGCGGAGGUUGUAACACCCCAGGUGUUUGUCACUUGCUAAGUACUAGGUUUGAGCUCAAACAUGACAAGUUCAAUGGUAAUUAAAAGGUCAAAGUCAAUCUAUGAAAGUAAGCCUUAACUUGGACUUGGAUGAUGCACCUUUACUUACAUAUAGGCCCUUUUUAAAAGGUAUGCUUUGAUGAUGCUAAUGGAACCUUUUUCAUAUGUCUUUUAUCCAUCCCAAUCUAUAUUGGUCUUUGGAAAGUUUGGUGA